UCAAAAAUAAAAAAGAUGUAUUCAUUUGUUGACACAAGUGAAACAAAAAAUAAGAGAAAUAACUAGAGGAAGAGAAUUGUCUGUUUCCAGGAGAGUCCUCUUUGAAUCUGGUGCAUGUGUAAGAAUUGGGAGUAAAAGCUAAGGAGAGUUGGGGUUUGUGUAUGGUAUAAAUAGAGAGCGACAAGUAUGGCGGACGGUUAUUUGGGACCCUCUCCACUUCUUAAGCCCUCUUCUUUAUAUACCUUUCCUUUCACUUUUUCCCCAUUUUCAGGUUCCCCCAGAUCUCUUUCUUUCUCCUUCAUGGCCUCUAAUUGCUCUUCUGCUCGUCACUGUAGUUGCUCCUCUACUAGUUCCUCCACUACUCAUCAACCUUCUAUUCUUGUUUUCUCAGGUGGAACUGCAUUUAAUGGUGUGGUUGAAGAGCUUAAGAAUCUAACUACACGUGUAGCUCAUGUGCUCCCUGUUUCUGAUGACGGAGGAAGUACAGCCGAAAUUGUUCGUGUUCUUGGUGGUCCUGCUGUUGGAGAUAUACGAUCAAGAUGUUUGAGAUUAUCCGGCCAAAGCACGUCAGAGGCUCGUGCAGUCCGAAUAUUGCUUGGUCAUCGUUUACCUCUUGAUGCACGAAGAGCCAAAUCAGAAUGGUAUGAAAUUGUGGAGGGCAGCCAUGAACUUUGGCAAGAUGUCUCAAAACCGUAUAGGGAAACUAUAAGAGCUUUCUUGGCUUACUUCCAGGAUCAGAUUCUCCGGCGUUCAGAUGAGCAUUUCUGUUUCAGCAAUGGAAGUAUAGGGAACUUUUUCUUCGCUGGAGCACGCAUAUUCUUCCAAUCUCUAGAUGCAGCAAUCUUUUUGUUUUCACGGGUUUCAGAAAUUCCAGCAGAAAGUUUUGUUCUUCCCGUGAUAUCUACAAAUGAAAGGCUUACCCUGGGAUGUGAGUUAUCGGAUGGAACUGUCAUACGCGGACAAAAUGAAAUAUCUCAUCCAACCCAUGGAUCCAUGCAACCUAUAGACAAGGAUGCCUCUUCAGCCCCAGCACUUCCUUCUAGAAUAAAACGGAUAUUCUACAUGUCCAGUGAAGGAAGCAACUUAUUGCAUGAGGUCUUCCCCACUGUGAAUCCCACUGUCUUGGAACAGUUGAGAAGUGUUGACUGUAUCGUAUUUGGCAUGGGAUCCCUCUUUACUUCCAUCUGCCCUUCUCUGGUUUUACUUGGAGUGGGGGAAACCAUCUCUUCACAGUCUUGUCCCAAGGUACUUCUGUUGAAUGGUACUCAUGAUCGAGAAACUUGUGGCCUUAGUGCUUCUUGCUUUGUGACUGCCAUUACCGAUGCCUUAAAUCGAACUUAUGGAGAUCCUCAUAAUUGUCUUAAAAAUCCUCCAAACAAAUAUAUCAACACCCUUUUGGUGCCGAAAAACGGAUUAAUACCUAUGGAUAAAGAAAGCCUGGCUUCUCAAGGAAUUUUCAAUGUGGUCACGGUGGAUUCCUUUCCUGAUCCAAAAUUGGGUGUGCUUUUUGAUCCCAAAUCAUUGAUUCAAGCACUUUCCAAUCUGUUGACGGAUGCAUGAACCUGAAUUCUACUAUGAUUUGUUAAACCUUAAUUUAUCAGAAAUUUUGGAGCUUGUGGCACAGUAGUUUUCGCAACGGAUCUGAAGAGAAACGGGCUGUUUGUGAGAACUUGUAGAUCGAUAACAAUUCAAAGACCUCUGCAUUGAUUUCAACUCCAUGAAGUCCGAAGGAAGAGGGUAAGGCUUCCAUAGUUUCACGUUGGCAUUGGCUUAGAUCUUAUUCAGCUCUUACUGGGAAAGAAUAUCAUUGUUCACAAUUGAGCUGAAACAAAUCUGAUGUUUCGUAUUUGGGCACGUACAGAUCAAUGAAAUUUUUUCCAACCUCAGUUUGUUUGGAAUUGAAGCGUAAUGGCUGUUGUACAUAAUAAAAUUUCUUUUCAUCAA